rnacentral:rRNA from 2 species
UACGGCGAGUGAAGCGGCAACAGCUCAAAUUUGAAAUCUGGCGCAAGCCCGAGUUGUAAUUUGUAGAGGAUGCUUCUAGGCAGCGGCCGGUCUAAGUCUCUUGGAACAGGGCGUCAUAGAGGGUGAGAAUCCCGUAUGUGACCGGCUGGCACCUUAUACGUAGCUCCUUCGACGAGUCGAGUUGUUUGGGAAUGCAGCUCUAAAUGGGAGGUAAAUUUCUUCUAAAGCUAAAUACCGGCCAGAGACCGAUAGCGCACAAGUAGAGUGAUCGAAAGAUGAAAAGCACUUUGGAAAGAGAGUUAAAAAGCACGUGAAAUUGUUGAAAGGGAAGCGCUUGCAACCAGACUUGUUGGCGGUGUUCCGCCGGUCUUCUGACCGGUCUACUCGCCGCCCGCAGGCCAGCGUCGUCUGGGGCCGCCGGAGAAAGGCGUUGGGAAUGUAGCUCCCUCGGGAGUGUUAUAGCCCAUCGCACAAUACGGCGCGCGCCGGGCGAGGUCCGCGCUUCGGCAAGGACGCUGGCGUAAUGGUCGUAAGCGGCCCGUCUUGAA